GUCUUUUUGAUUAUGAUUUAAAGUCUGGUCUGCCCACUGUAAUAUAAAUGAAGGGCCGCGGUAUUUUAACUGUGCAAAGGUAGCAUAAUAAUUAGUUUCUUUAUUGGAAACUGGAAUGAAUGGCUGGACGAGAAAAAUAGUGUCUCAAUAAAAAUUAAUGAAUUUUAUUUUUAAGUGAAAAAGCUUAAAUGAUUUUAAAAGACGAGAAGACCCUAUAGAGUUUUACAUAAAUUUUAUAUUAAAUAAUUGGAAUUUUUUAUUAUUAUAAUAAUUUUUGUUUAGCUGGGGUGGCUUUAAAAUUGAUUUAACUUUUAUAUAUUUUUACACUAAUUUGUGAUUAUUUGAUCCAUAAAUUUGAUUAAAAGAUUUAAUUACCUUAGGGAUAACAGCGUAAUCUUUCUUAGGAGUUCAAAUCAAUAGAAGGGAUUGCGA
rnacentral:rRNA from 1 species